rnacentral:rRNA from 1 species
AGUGAACGCUGGCGGUAGGCCUAACACAUGCAAGUCGAACGGCAGCACAGUAAGAGCUUGCUCUUACGGGUGGCGAGUGGCGGACGGGUGAGGAAUACAUCGGACUCUACUCUUUCGUGGGGGCUAACGUAGGGAAACCUACGCCAAUACCGCAUAUGACCUACCGGUUAAAGCAGCGGAUCUUAGGACCUUGCGCGAUUGAACGAGCCGAUGUCGGAUUAGCUAGUUGGCGGGGCAAAGGCCCACCAAGGCGACGAUCCGUAGCUGGUCUGAGAGGAGGAUCAGCCACACUAGAACUGGGACACGGUCCAGACUCCUGCGGGAGGCAGCAGUGGGGAAUAUUAGACAAUGGGCGCAAGCCUGGUCCAGCCAUACCGCGUGGGUGAAGAAGGCCUUCGGGUUGUAAAGCCCUUUUGUUGGGAAAGAAAAGCAGCAGGUUAAGACCCCGCUGUUCUGACGGUACCCGAAGAAUAAGCACCGGCUAACUUCGUG